rnacentral:rRNA from 1 species
UACGUAGGGUGCGAGCGUUAAUCGGAAUUACUGGGCGUAAAGGGCUCGUAGGCGGCCAACUAAGUCAGACGUGAAAUCCCUCAGCUUAACUGGGGAACUGCGUCUGAUACUGGAUGGCUUGGAUUCGGGAGAGGAAUGCGGAAUUCCAGGUGUAGCGGUGAAAUGCGUAGAUAUCGAGAGGAACACCUGCGGCGAAGGCGGAUAGCUGGGCCGACACUGACGCUGAAGCGCGAAAGCUAGGGGAGCGAACGGG